rnacentral:rRNA from 1 species
GAUGAACGCUGGCGGCGUGCCUAAUACAUGCAAGUCGAGCGAACAGACGAGGAGCUUGCUCCUCUGACGUUAGCGGCGGACGGGUGAGUAACACGUGGAUAACCUACCUAUAAGACUGGGAUAACUUCGGGAAACCGGAGCUAAUACCGGAUAAUAUAUUGAACCGCAUGGUUCAAUAGUGAAAGACGGUUUUGCUGUCACUUAUAGAUGGAUCCGCGCCGCAUUAGCUAGUUGGUAAGGUAACGGCUUACCAAGGCAACGAUGCGUAGCCGACCUGAAGGGGGGAUCGGCCACACUGGAACUGAGACACGGUCCAGACUCCUACGGGGGGAGGCGGUAGGGAAUCUUCCGCAAUGGGCGAAAGCCUGACGGGGCAACGCCGCGGGAUUGAUGAAGGUCUUCGGAUCUUAAAACUCUGUUAUUAGGGAAGAACAAAUGUGUAAGUAACUAUGCACGUCUUGACGGUACCUAAUCAGAAAGACACGGCUAACUACGUG